CGAAGGACCCGAGCGUUAUCCGGAUUUAUUGGGUUUAAAGGGUGCGUAGGCGGAUUAGUAAGUCAGUGGUGAAAGCCCAUCGCUUAACGGUGGAAUUGCCAUUGAUACUGCUAGUCUUGAGUAUGGUUGAGGUGGGCGGAAUGUGUCAUGUAGCGGUGAAAUGCUUAGAUAUGACCCAGAACACCAAUUGCGAAGGCAGCUCGCUAAACCAUAACUGACGCUGAUGCACGAAAGCGUGGGGAGCAAACAGGAUUAGAUACCCUGGUAGUCCACGCCCUAAACUAUGAUCACUCGUUGUUGGCGAUACACAGUCAGCGACUAAGGGAAACCAUUAAGUGAUCCACCUGGGAAGUACGACCGCAAGGUUG
rnacentral:rRNA from 1 species